AGAAACUUAUAAGGAUUUCCUUAGUAACUGCGAGUGAAUAGGGAUCAACUCUUUUUUAUAAUCUAGAGAUGUUAUUCUCUCGAAUUGUAGUUUGUGGAAGCAUUAUUGGUGAUAAAAUUGGAUGCAUAUCUCUUGGAAAGGUUUGUUAAAGAGGGUGAAAGCCCCGUGGUGUCUAAUUUUUAUUGCUUUAAAUUAUGUUGUCAAUGAGUCGGGUUGUUUGGGAUUGCAAUCUAAAUGGGUGGUAAAUUUCGUCCAAGGUUAAAUAUUUUGGAGGGACCGAUAGUGAACAAGUACCGUGAGGGAAAGAUGAAAAGAACUUUGAAAAGGGAGUCAAAGAGUGCUUGAAAUUAUUGAGGGGGAAACAAAUGAGUGUUAUUUUUAUCUUUUUUUCAAAAGUAGAUUUUGUAAAAUUCUAUCUAUUUGUUUGUGUAAAGAUUUAAGUGGUGUCGGAUUUGGAUAGUGGUUGAAUGUGAGGUUGAAAAAUUUCUAUUUAUAUUCCUUUCUAAAUUGUUGCUUCAAAAAUGUAUAAAGGUGUAUUUCACAUCAUCAUUUUUUAAACAUCAUUGAUACUGAUGCUUAUUUGACCCGUCUUGAAACACGGACCAAGGAGUCUGACAUGUGUGCAAGCUGAUGUGUUGGAAACACUUUAGGCAUAAGGAAGCUAAUUGAUGGGAUCUCUUGCACCUUUGAUUGACCUCGAUCUUUUGAGAAGGGUUUGAGUGUGAGUAUGCUUGUCGGGACCCGAAAGAUGGUGAACUAUGCUUGAGUAGGGUGAAGCUAGAGGAAACUCUGGUGGAGGCCCGUAGCGAUACUGACGUGCAAAUCGUUCGUCUGACUUGAGUAUAGGGGCGAAAGACCAAUCGAACCA
rnacentral:rRNA from 1 species